rnacentral:rRNA from 1 species
GAGCGACCCGCGAACCGGUUGGAACGAACCUCCGUGCGGGGGAGGGCGAGGGCGCGCCCGAGGCCUCCCCCGAGAACAAAACCCCGGCGCCCCAGGCGCCAAGGAAACGAAACAGAGCAGGGCACGCCCGCCGCCGGUCGCCCGGGGCGGGGUCCCAUGCCGGAUUGCAUCCGAAACGACUCUCGGCAACGGAUAUCUCGGCUCUCGCAUCGAUGAAGAACGUAGCGAAAUGCGAUACUUGGUGUGAAUUGCAGAAUCCCGUGAACCAUCGAGUCUUUGAACGCAAGUUGCGCCCGAAGCCGCUAGGCCGAGGGCACGUCUGCCUGGGUGUCACGCAGCGUCGCCAACGCCCAACACUCUGGGCGCGGCGGAUGAUGGCCUCCCGGGAGCCUCGCCUCCCGGCUGGCCGAAAGAGGGGCCCAACGUGACGACCGCCACGAUCCACGGUGGUUGAGUGAGAGACUCGCUCGAGGCCAAGGCGUGCGCGCGUCGUCUCACGGGGAGGGCCCGCCGGCAGGGGCAUCUGCCCCCCACUCGUACGCGACCCCAGGUCAGGCGGGGCUACCCGCUGAGUUUAAGCAUAUCAAUAAGCGGAGGAAAAGAAACUAACGAGGAUUCCCCUAGUAACGGCGAGCGAAC